AAAAAAAAAAAAAAAAAAAAGCCAUUAUUCGGGGAAAAGAGAAAGAAUAGAAAUGUGAUAGAAUCAGAAGAGGAAAAAAACAGUAACACUUAAGUCCGCACCAUUCACUGGUGGAUCCCAUCUUUUCAGUUCUUUUUAUUUUUCCCCAUUUAUUUCCGCACCUUGCUCAGGCCACACCCUAGCAACCAAGUAAGUUUAGAGAGAAGCCCAUGAUUUAGGUGCAAAUUAUAAUCGAUCAAUUGAAAUUUAAAAACAAAACCUGAGAAAACCAAAGAUUUUAGUAGUAAUACAUAUUCGAGUCAUGCUCAAUUAACAAUAAUUUUUUAUGGACAACUAACAAACAAUUUUUAUAUCAAAAUG
rnacentral:misc_RNA from 1 species